UAUUGUUCAUUUAAAAUGUUGUUUUGAUGACAUUUCAAUGAUAUGAAAUUAAGCAAUGAAAAAGAUUGUAACACUUCACGAAUUUAAGAACUUCAAUGGGACAGAUUGACUCUAAAGAGUUUAUGGCUGGAAGCUACAAAACUUUGCGGUCAACUUAUUCGCAAAACAGAGCGAAAGAAAAACUGGAUGACCCUCUUCCAGAAGAUGAACAAGAUGGAACGGAAAAAAUAACAGUUUUCCAAAACAAUAUUGAAACAACCGGAAAACGACAUUUUAACAAAUUGGAGAGAGAACAACACGCGGCAACACGACCACCUUUUAAUAAUCGAGAUCAUGAGGAAAAGUCUGAAUUUCAAGAUCGCAGAUUUUGUUCCAUAUUCCGCAGUUUAAAUAUAAAAGAUGAGUUCCUACUGUUAAAAGAGGAUGUUGAAAGUUUCAAGACGACAUUUAAGAUAAAAUUUUUAGAAAUAUAUUAGAAAUAAUUUUGUAGCAAAUAUGUUGAAAUGAAAAACAAGUAAUAAACGGCAUUUUGUUUUCCAUUUUUUUUAUUUGGGAGUUAUAAUAAAUGGUUUUAUCACUACUUGGUUCAGGUAUAAUUAAAUGUACCAAAACCAUGAGAUGCAAUUAUUUGGUGCUAUGUCAAUGAUGGUUGAAUGGACUAACUGUCAAUUCUACUUAAGUCAGCUGUUCACUGAAUUUGUGCUUUAGCCUUUAGUACAUAAACUUUAACUUGGCUUAUAAUCAUUUAGAAAAAAAAAAUGUUUAAGUGCAAAUUUGAAGGAUGUAAAAUUGGACAUUUUGAUAUCCUGUUCAGCAUUGAUAAUUAAUAAUUAUAUUUAAUUUUUUUGUCUAAAAUUUUAAUUCUGCUAUAUGUAAAUGAGUGUUUUGUGAAACAACACUAAUCUUGUUUUUUGACCCACCCUGUUUUUUAGAAAGCAAAACAUUAUUAAAAUUUUUUAGAAGGCUUAUCUGUCCAAAAUAGUUAAAAUUAAUAUUAGUCAUUUGUAAAAUUGCGAAAGCUCAUCUGAACAGCUUUGAUUUGUAAUGUUUUAACUAUUUGCUGGUUUAAAUUUGAUAAAGUUAGACUAAUUUUUGUGUAAGAGGAUUAAGUUAUGGAUUAAUAAUAACCUAAUUUGAACAACUGAAUAAAUUCAAAGCAUGUUAAAUUCUUUUUUAUUUCCAAUAUGGCGUCGUAAACAUGGAAUAUAGCGUUGAGGAAUUUGCUAUGUGCACAGGGUGAAAGUCAUGACUACGCGUAUCCUAUUCCUCAGGCAAAGUGUGGGGUCGACCUGUUGACCUACCCAGCUGCUACCAUGGAUGGAUUAGGAAACCCAAGGUGGAACAACUCCUAAAACAGGGUCCAGAUGGAUUCUACCUGUUAAAGAAUUCAACAGAAUUUCCUGGGGACUUAACUCUGUGUGUCUGGCAGGAAGACAAAAAUUCUAAGGAUCAGUAAUCACAAACUAACAAUAGACCACAAAACGUACUUUCAAAAUUUAGACGAUCUCCUGUUUGAGUACAAGAGGACUGAUACACUAGGCGUGAGACUGGUUUUGCCGUGUCUAAAAGAAUUUCCAAACCAAAAAAAUUCUGGACUGCAGGGCACGUGCAGAACGGGUCGGUACAGCGCGCAACAAAUAAAAGAAAACGCUGGCACAACUGGUAGAGUCAAGUUGCGAACCAAUUAACAGAUUGGAUUUUGGCCUGGGAUUACCCAGCAAAUAAUUAGACUGAUGUAGUUAAAAAA